rnacentral:tRNA from 1 species
GAUUCCAUAGCUUAAUUCUAAAGUGAUAGUUUGAAGCGCUAUCGAUGCCUUUCGGCUGGGAUCA